rnacentral:rRNA from 1 species
GACAGAGGUGCCGAGCGUUAUGCGGAAUCACUGGGCUUAAAGCGUGUGUAGGCGGAUCCGUAAGUACCUUGUGAAAUCCCACGGCUCAACCGUGGAACUGCUUGGUAUACUGCGGGUCUUGAGCCACCUAGGGGCGAGCGGAACAAGUGGUGGAGCGGUGAAAUGCGUAGAUAUCACUUGGAACGCCAACGGUGAAAACAGGUUGCUGGGGGUGUGCUGACGCUGAGACACGAAAGCCAGGGGAGCGAACGGG